rnacentral:rRNA from 1 species
GAUGAACGCUGGCGGCGUGCCUAAUACAUGCAAGUCGAGCGAACAGACGAGGAGCUUGCUCCUCUGACGUUAGCGGCGGACGGGUGAGUAACACGUGGAUAACCUACCUAUAAGACUGGGAGAACUUCGGGAAACCGGAUCUAAUACCGGAUAAUAUAUUGAACCGCAUGGUUCAAUAGUGAAAGACGGUUUUGCUGUCACUUAUAGAUGGAUCCGCGCCGCAUUAGCUAGUUGGUAAGGUAACGGCUUACCAAGGCGACGAUGCGUAGCCGACCUGAGAGGGUGAUCGGCCACACUGGAACUGAGACACGGUCCAGACUCCUACGGGAGGCAGCAGUAGGGAAUCUUCCGCAAUGGGCGAAAGCCUGACGGAGCAACGCCGCGUGAGUGAUGAAGGUCUUCGGAUCGUAAAACUCUGUUAUUAGGGAAGAACAAAUGUGUAAGUAACUAUGCACGUCUUGACGGUACCUAAUCAGAAAGCAACGGCUAACUACGUG